AAUGAACGCUGGCGGCGUGCUUAACACAUGCAAGUCGAACGAGAAAGAUUGCCUUCGGGUGAUUGAGUAAAGUGGCGCACGGGUGAGUAACGCGUGGGUAAUCUACCUAUAAGUCUGGAAUAACGUUUCGAAAGAGGCGCUAAUACGGGAUAAGACCACAGGCACUUCGGUGCAAGGGGUAAAAGGUGCUUUCGGGCAUCGCUUAUGGAUGAGCCUGCGUGACAUUAGAUUGAUGGUGGGGUAAUGGCCCACCAUAUUGUCUACGAUGUCUAGCUGGUCUGAGAGGAUGAUCAGCCACACUGGGACUGGAACACGGCCCAGACUCCUACGGGAGGCAGCAGUGAGGAAUUUUGCGCAAUGGGGGAAACCCUGACGCAGCAACGCCGCGUGAGUGAUGAAGGCCUUUUGGUUGUAAAGCUCUGUCGCCUGGAAAGAAACCUGAGGGUAGGAAAUGAUCUUCAGCUGACGGUACCAGGAAAGGAAGGACCGGCUAACUCCGUGCCAGCAGCC
rnacentral:rRNA from 1 species